rnacentral:lncRNA from 1 species
GAGAAAAGAAAACAUUACAUGUUUGAUGCAAUUCUAUUUGAUCAUAGCUAGGCUUUUAUGUGCUUUAGUUUAGACCCAUUAGUGUCCAUAUACAAACUAUUUAUAACUAAAAAAUAAUUUAAGUUCUAUCGUAUUGCUGUGGUGUUUGUUCAAUUUAUAUAAUUUUAUAUUUGUUCAGUUUAUAUUGAUAAAUUAGAUUCAAUUCAGUUUAAAUUCAAUAAAUGAUUUUGACAUGGUUAAUUAAUGUUUCAGAUGCUUAGACAUAGGCAUUCUAGUAAUUAACUUUGGCUUCAUAUAUGUAGAUUUUUUCAUAUUUGUAAGCAUUUGCC